rnacentral:lncRNA from 1 species
UCUAUCAAAUCUAGAGGUCACUGGAAAUCUGGGAGCUCAGAGGAGGAAAGACAGACCAGGAGCAAGGAGAGGGGGCCCUUGGGCACACAGGAUGAGGCUGAGAAGAGGCUCCUCUGGCUACAACUGAAGCCUGAGCAGAGGAGAUGAGCACCCACCUACCUGCUCUUGUCCAGUGCAUAGAGAAAAGAAAGGGUUUGGGGAGGAAACAUAGCCCAACCAUUAAACUGUGGAGAAAGAAGGUGGAGAGUGCCUGUAUAUGGAAAGAAGAAAAGCUAACUUCAUGGCUUUCUUGU